rnacentral:rRNA from 1 species
CCCUUAGAUGUUCUGGGCCGCACGCGCGCUACACUGACGAAUGCAACGAGCUUAUGACCUUGGCCGAAAGGUCUGGGUAAUCUCCAAAUUUCGUCGUGAUGGGGAUAGAUUAUUGCAAUUAUUAAUCUUCAACGAGGAAUGCCUAGUAAGCGCAAGUCAUCAGCUUGCGUUGAUUACGUCCCUGCCCUUUGUACACACCGCCCGUCGCUCCUACCGAUUGAAUGGUCCGGUGAAGCGUUCGGACCGUGGCCUUUGGACGGUUCGCCGUCUGUUGGCUGCGGGAAGUUCGUUAAACCUUAUCAUUUAGAGGAAGGAGAANUCGUAACA